GACGAACGCUGGCGGCGUGCCUAAUACAUGCAAGUCGAACGGUCUUUUCUAUGGAAGCUUGCUUCCACUGAGAAGAUAGUGGUGAACGGGUGAGUAACACGUGGGUAACCUGCCCAUAAGAGGGGGAUAACAUCCGGAAACGGGUGCUAAUACCGCAUAGUUUUCUUGAUCGCAUGAUCGAGAAAGGAAAGACGGCCUUUGUGCUGUCGCUUAUGGAUGGACCCGCGGCGUAUUAGUUAGUUGGUGAGGUAUCGGCUCACCAAGACGAUGAUCCGUAGCCGGCCGGAGAGGGUGAUCGGCAACAUUGGGACUGAGACACGGCCCAAACUCCUACGGGAGGCAGCAGUAGGGAAUCUUCCGCAAUGGACGAAAGUCUGACGGAGCAACGCCGCGUGAGUGAAGAAGGUUUUCGGAUCGUAAAACUCUGUUGUCAGAGAAGAACAAGUCGGAGAGUAACUGCUCCGGCCUUGACGGUAUCUGACCAGAAAGCCACGGCUAACUACGUGCCAGCCGCCGCCGUAA
rnacentral:rRNA from 1 species